rnacentral:rRNA from 1 species
ACUGAACGCUGGCGGCAUGCUUUACACAUGCAAGUCGAACGGUAACAGGCCGCAAGGUGCUGACGAGUGGCGAACGGGUGAGUAAUGCAUCGGAACGUGCCCAGUCGUGGGGGAUAACGCAGCGAAAGCUGUGCUAAUACCGCAUACGAUCUAUGGAUGAAAGCGGGGGACCGUAAGGCCUCGCGCGAUUGGAGCGGCCGAUGUCAGAUUAGGUAGUUGGUGGGGUAAAGGCUCACCAAGCCAACGAUCUGUAGCUGGUCUGAGAGGACGACCAGCCACACUGGGACUGAGACACGGCCCAGACUCCUACGGGAGGCAGCAGUGGGGAAUUUUGGACAAUGGGCGCAAGCCUGAUCCAGCAAUGCCGCGUGCAGGAAGAAGGCCUUCGGGUUGUGAACUGCUUUUGUACGGAACGAAACGGUCUGGGUUAAUACCCUGGGCUAAUGACGGUACCGUAAGAAUAAGCACCGGCUAACUACGUGCCAGCAGCCGCGGUAACAC